CCAAUUUCUUGAGGAUGAGGAGAAACACAACUGCCUCCGCCAAGGUACCAGCCUCUAGAGUCAGUAAGCCAAUACUUACCACUUCAUUUAAAACCCAUGCAGUGCCCACAGAUGUGAUUAUAUAAUUACGAUCAAAUGGCAACCCGUGUGUGAGUCCUGAAUCAUUUGUCCUGGAAUGGAUAGAGCUAUUUAUAAUCACAGCGAGGCUGGGGAACACAGUAACUGUGGACAAAGGCAACUAAUUUCUAGCCCAGAGGCUGAGGCUGAAAGGAAGCCUCAUGAUGGGGCAGCCGCCAGUUGUGAGCAGAACAGUUCACACCGGCCAAUGGCCACCGGUGAGUGACCUCGCAGAGCUGCAGUCUCGGAGCAAUGGACAAGCCUUCCCAGGGAAUCGUGAGGGAGUGGCUCUUAGCAAUAAACCACCAGCUAGCCUUGGCACAGAGAGGUGAGGCUGAAGAGAGUCCUGAGGCAUCUUUUCUUGUAUUCACUUGCUGGGUUGAGUAUUUUGGCUCCUUAUAAAAGCACAGAUGCCAAACGAGGAGUUUUGGAGGGGGCAGAGGCUCAGUGAUAGGAAUAAAAUAGUUAUUUUCAUAUUCACAGAGCUGAGUUUUAUUUCCAAGGAGGGAAAAUUGGGAACUAAAGUAGGCAAGUAGUUUAUUCCCCAGAAGGAUUACUGCAAGGACUUACCUGCAUUCAGUGGCCAGUUAGGCAAGCAGGCCAAGAUGGGCUAGAGCAGAGCAACGUCGGCAGGAGGCGCCUAUCAUAUAGAGUGCAUUGGACAAUGGUUUCCAUUACUACUAACAGAGUUCAUUACUCUAGAAUUUUUGCUUUAAAGAUCUCUGACUUUCUGACUCCAUGGAAUGGAGCUAACUUUUGAAAGACGGAUGUUGGAGAAGAAUUAUCUUAGCAGACAUGAGGAAAGGUCUGACUCUCCUGUGAACGUAAUGAGCUCAUAAAUGUCUCCAUCCCUUCGCCAUGUGUCAAGAGAAUGAGAAGGCUCCUUCCAGACCCUGCCCCCAGAAGCCAUUUUCCUGGAGCACUUAUUCGCACCAUAGCCUAAGCAAGAAUGCAAGACAUCAUGGUUUUGUGGGUCCAGGCCACUCCUUUAUUUUGGGGGCCUUUGAUGUCCAAGAGCAAGUUCUGACCAGAGCUGACCUCAUUGUUUGGACACAGGAUCCUGCUAGACCUACCUUAUACUGACAUCUGCUGGUCAUCUCCGGGUCAUCUUCAGUAAUAGUUAAUCAAAAUGGAGAAAGACUUUUGAGUUGUUUCCCAGAGUAUGCUGAACUUAAUUUUUCCUCAGCUUUCAAGGCUUUCACCAAGAUAUGC
rnacentral:lncRNA from 1 species